rnacentral:rRNA from 1 species
CCUACGGGAGGCUGCAGUGAGGAAUAUUGGUCAAUGGACGGAAGUCUGAACCAGCCAUGCCGCGUGCAGGAAGACGGUUCUAUGAGUCGUAAACUGCUUUUGUACAAGGGUAAACCUGAAUACGUGUAUUCAGCUGAAAGUACUGUAAGAAUAAGGAUCGGCUAACUCCGUGCCAGCAGCCGCGGUAAUACGGAGGAUCCAAGCGUUAUCCGGAUUUAUUGGGUUUAAAGGGUGCGUAGGCGGAUUGGUAAGUUAGAGGUGAAAUGUCCGAGCUUAACUCGGGAACUGCCUCUAAUACUGUUGAUCUAGAGAGUGGAUGCGGUAGGCGGAAUGUAUGGUGUAGCGGUGAAAUGCUUAGAGAUCGUACAGAACACCGAUUGCGAAGGCAGCUUACCAAUCUAUCUCUGACGUUGAGGCACGAAAGCGUGGGGAGCGAACAGGAUUAGAUACCCUAGUAGUC